rnacentral:pre_miRNA from 1 species
UUAACUCAAAUUUGUAUAGAGCCGGAAUAGCUUCCCUUCGUUUGUCGCUAGGGGCGCUGUUCUAAUCCCAUACAAGUUUGAGCUA